CGACCGGCUGCGCGAUGGGCCGGGUGCGCUCGGUGCCGACGAGCCGGUUCACCGUCGGCGAGGUGCUCUUCGACCGGGCACUGGCCGCC
rnacentral:tRNA from 1 species